rnacentral:rRNA from 1 species
UACAGAGGUCUCAAGCGUUGUUCGGAUUCAUUGGGCGUAAAGGGUGCGUAGGUGGCGCUGUAAGUCAGGUGUGAAAUUUCGGAGCUUAACUCCGAAACUGCAUUUGAUACUGCGGUGCUUGAGGACUGGAGAGGAGACUGGAAUUUACGGUGUAGCAGUGAAAUGCGUAGAGAUCGUAAGGAAGACCAGUGGCGAAGGCGGGUCUCUGGACAGCUCCUGACACUGAGGCACGGAAGGCCAGGGGAGCAAACGGG